rnacentral:Y_RNA from 1 species
AGUAGGUCCAAUGGUUGUAGGUUACUGUUAAACUGAUUAACAUUGUCACCCUCUACAACCAAACUUGACUAAAUAUGU